ACAAUACCAAAUUGUUGUUUGGAUGUAGAUGAAAUUGCCACUUAGGAUCGAAUGAGGUGACAAAUACCAAUUCAUAUUUGGAUGUGUAUGCGGUGAAUUUGGAACUGUAUCUUCUCCUUUCUCCAUCCAGCUGAGCAGAAAGGGGAGCAAACAUGUGGGGCGAGCCUCCGUACCAUCACCGUCGGCCGCUGCUUCAACGAGCGGCCCGCACGCGCAUCUGACCUGGGCGGGUCCCAAGCUCCUAGCCGUCGGCCGCACCUCCCUAGCCCCACCCCCCGCGCGCGCAACCUUCAUGGGCCGGUCGUAGCUUUGCCCUGACACUGAGGAGGAAGGGGAUCGCCUGAGUCUUCGCACCGACGCAGCCAGCCGCUACUUCGACGAGUGGUGCACGAGGGGAGUAGGGGACCCCGGUUGUGAGGAAGAGGACGAGGAGGCUGCAGUCGUGAGGAAGAGGAGGGGGCGCGAUCGCAGUUCACGAGAAAGAGAUGGAGGGGACGCCGGUUGCAAGGAAGAAGAGGAUGGGACACGGCUAUGACGAAGAAGGGGAGGCGGCCAUGGGCGUGAGGAAGAGAAGGGGACCGCAGACGAGGGAGAAUAUUGACGGUGAAUCUCCGACGGUGGAGUUCCGGCGAUGGAGGUCGGGGGUGGAGUUUCGGCGGCGAUGCUGUACAGUGGUGGAGGUUGGGUGACUGAUAGAAUAAGCGAGCCAAUUUAUCCGGAGGGGUGAGGCUCGGAUUUCAUGAUAUUGAUUCUCAAUUUCAAUCGUCAAUUCUACGGACAUCCAAACAACAUCAUUCGUCGUAUCCACUUCUCAAUUCUGAGCUCCAAUACUGACAUCCGCACCUCAGAGGCAUUCGUCUCCCUCGCGCAACACCCGCUACCUUCCUCCCCUCCGGCCCCCGCAACCUUCUUCCCCUCCUCCGCCGCUCCCUUCUUCCCCUCCACCGCGGCGCCGCUCUCCUCCUCUCCUCCCUCGUCGAGCUGCCGCUCUCCUCCCCUCUGGCCUCCGCUCCCUUUUUCCCGUCCUCCGCCGCUCCCUUCUCCCCCUCCGCCGCCGCGCCGCUCGCCGCUCUCCUCCUCCCCUCCGCCGCCGCGCCGUUCUCCUCCUUCCUUCCCCAGCCGAGCCGCACGCCGUUCUCCCCCUCUCCACCGCCGCGCCGUCUUCUCCCCUCCCCUCCGCCGCCGUGCCGUCUUCUCCCCUCCACCGUCGUGCCACCCUCCUCAUCCCCCUCUUCCACCGAGAGCGGCGCGUGGAUAUCCCCCGCUGAGUCGAGCGCCGUUCUCUCCGCGCGCAAGACGAGCGCUGCUCCACCGUGGCCUCCCUCCAGUCCGGCCCCAAGCUCCGCCUCUGUGCGGGCGAAGAAGAUGAGACAUCCAGCGCAUGAGGAUGAGAAGUGAAUUUCUAAUUUGAUGUUAAGGACAUCCAAACACGAAUUGGUAUUCGGCUCCGGUUGAAUUCCAUCUGCCAAUUUCAUCUACAUCCAAACAGCUGCUUUGGUAUUGGAUCCAUUUCAAUGCCUAGGCUGAUUUGGUAUUGUCCCCAAUUCAAUACCAAGCCCUCCAAUAUCUACAUCCAAACGGAGCCUAAAAGUUUUGCAAGAAUUAGACUGACAAGUAGUCGUCUGAUGGAUGGAAAUCUCUGCUGAAGCAAUAGAAAGAGGCAUCAGGCAUGUGUCUUGGUUGCAUACUUACAUUGGCUUUCUUCAUUGUACACUAACCUCCAACUGUUUGUUGAAAUGCCUCUUAUAGGAAAUGCUUCUAUGAGGAUUGCAUUACAUUGAGAUCAUUUAAAAUUUGGAAAUUUGAAAUAGGACAAAAUAUUGGUUUGCAGGCUUUGAUAUAUGCUACCGUUUGCGUUUGUGGGAUGCUAGACUGAAUUUUCUUUGGACAAAGGCAUAGCAUCCGUCAGGUAUAUGUUUAGAGCAGUAUGUUAGGGCAACAGUUUACCAAAAAAAUGCAGAUUAUUUACUACAAUGCAUAACUAGGUAAUUGGUUUGUCUUUUUCUCUUUUUUUUUCUUGAGAUGGAAUUGGAUCUUUUAUCAAUUCAAAAUGGAAGACAAAAAUGACACCACCUUGAUUUGUUGAUAACACUAUGCAGAUCCUGAGCUCCCAAGUUAUUUAGAAAACAUUGGGAUAUUGGGGUAGUUGGUAGUUUUUCAGUUCAUAAAGCAUACUUAAAUUCAUAUGUAGAUUUCUGUGUUUUAUUUUGAUUCCAAAGGAUGGGUUUUAUUUUUGUAUUUAUAUCUAUUUAUUCAUUUGAAUUCAAUGUCCUCCUUCUCAGGAGUGGGCCAAUGAAAAAUAACUGAAACUAUCCUUCUCUACAUAAGUUACAUAUCAGUAAUUAUCGUUUCUCAUGCAAAUGUACUUUGUUUAUGAUAGGUGAGAACUUGCACACAAACAACCUUUUUACUGAAUGUUUCUCAAGAGCUAUUUCAAUUUUCCUUCCCAUAAAACAAAUUCGUGACAAAAGACAAUAUAGAUCUUCAAAGAAGAAGGCAAUUUGCAUCUGUUAUGACAUAAAUAAGAAGAAUGAAAUAUGAAUGUUAGUGAGAUCUCUACAUUUAAAAGAAAAAUAAAUAACCAGAUUUGGUGAAACAGUCAGCCAAGCUAAGCUAGCAUCUUUACCAAACCCAAUGUAGAGUUGCCAAUGGUUCCAAAUAUUGUAAAUCAGAUUUUAGAAUUCUAGGGCAUGAACGCCCCUGUCCGUAUGCAUUGCAACAGGACUCAAGGUCAGAUUUCUCAGCACACUACAGAUACAGGACGCCCCAAAUUGUUUCAGCAAAGGUUCUACAGAUACAAAAACUUAAUUUCUGUAACAGACGAGCAGCAGUUCGGAGCUCUCGUUGCUCCAUCAGGGCAGAAGCCAUGCAGACCCCCCCAAAGACGGUGUCAGCUGAUAAUACCUCUUUCUGUCUACUAAGUUGUAUUCUCCCUAAGCUCUAAUUCAUUUUGCCGGUACUAGUGCUUCUCCACUUAUGGACAUUGUCAGCAAAGUAGCACCUCCUUGGACCCUGUAGUUGUUUCUUUUAGGCGUAUUAACGAAUGCCUCCUCUGCUAUUUAUAACGUGCUGACAGUGUUCUACUGUAGGCAUCUGUGUUGGCUGCGACCUACUGACAAAAAGCCUCCAUGUGCACCAAGAUAAAAAGAGAAUCAUGAAAGUCAUGCUCCAAUUUGGAGAACAGGAAAGCUACCUGAACAAUUGGCUGGUGAUUUUUGGAGAAUGGUAGCCAAUGCUCUGCGAACACGGAAGCCUCCCAUAGAGCAUAGAAAGUGAGAAUCGAGCAUCCAUCAUCUGAGAGAUACAUGCUUAAUUUCUCAGCUGGGUAAUUAUACGCCAUGACUGAUAGGACCGUGGA